rnacentral:lncRNA from 10 species
UCAAUGACACAGUUUAAAGACCUCUAUAUUCACAAUUAUAUCCAGAGCAUAAUUUUCCAUGGCCAUAGUUUGAGCCACAGAGAAAGCCAAUGAAAUAGAUUCCUACUUUUAUUUAAUGCCAAGAGUUUUCACUAGCCCCAAACUUUUUAUUGGCAGCAGAUAUCCUAGGAGGGGUGUUUGGGAAAUAUCUAGCUAUUUUAAUAGAUAGAUACCUUUUUGCUUGAUGAUAAGUUUUUGCUUGCUCAUAUUUUUUGUCUUGAUCCUGAGAAUGCAAGUAAGGAAUUAAUAGGAGGUUCUUAGUGACCAGAUGUUGUAAUGGGCUAUACAGUCCAGCAGGCAGUAUGCACCUAGAAAUUUCUCCCUUUUUUAGGCUGGGCAUGGUGGCUCACACCUGUAAUCCCAGCACUUUGAGAGGCCGAGGUGAGACGGGAAGAUGGCUUGAACUCAGGAGUUCGAGACUAGCCUGGGCAACGUGAUGAGACUCCGUCUCUACCAAAAAAUAUAUAAAAAUUAGCCGGGCGUUGUGGCUUGUACCUGUGGUCCCAUCUGCUUGGGAGGCUGAGGUUGCAGGAUCACUUGAGCCCAGGAGGUCAAGGCUGCAGUGAGCCAAGAUUGUGCCACUGCACACCGGCCUGGGUGACAGCAUGAGAACCUGUCUCAAAAAAAAAAAAAAAAAAAGAAAAAAAAAUUCUUCCUUUUUUGCUAGAUUGUUGUCACCAAAAUUAUCUGUUUGGCUUUAGGAAGAGGGAAUUUUAUUAGAUUAUCAAGCUUUGUAAAAUUUAUUUGUACUUGGGCAAACCUAAGUAAGAGCAUACUGCAAAGCUACUGCUUGGAUGUAGAGGGCUAAAUUGUAGGUACUUCUGAAACUUUUUAUAGAUACUGACUCAUAAGUGUAAUUUGAAAGUACCCCUUGACCCAAACAAAACUGCUUCUCAAAACUUCUCAUUUUGAGGCUGAGGCAGGAGAAUCACUUGAAUCCAGGAGGUGGAGGUUGUAGUGAGCUGAGAUCAUACCACUGUGUUCUAGCCUGGGCCAUAGAGCAAGACUUUGUCUCAAAAAAAAAUAAAACAAAAAAUAUUUGGUUUAGUCUACAACUAUACCUUCCUUAUAACUUAACCAUAUGCAUUUAUUAGGAAAAGUUUAUGUAAUGCAGACAGGAAGCUCUAUGUUCCCUUCUCUGGGGCAUCCUGAACGUCUGAAGGGUCACAGAUGUCUGUGUAGAGAUCUGUAAGAUGUCAAAGAAUAAAGAUAAUUUAUAGACUAAG